GCCCUCAUGGCUCAGUGGUUAGAGCAUUGGUCUCGUAAACCAGGGGUCGUGAGUUCGACUCUCACUGAGGGCA
rfam:Crassostrea gigas strain 05x7-T-G4-1.051#20 contig3074, whole genome shotgun sequence.